rnacentral:tRNA from 1 species
GGCUCGGUGGCUUAGUUGGUAAAGCACUCGGCCAGCAUACAAGGGUCAUGAGUUAAAAUCUCACCUGAACUG